CCUACGGGUGACAGCAGUGGGGGAUAUUGCACAAUGGGGGAAACCCUGAUGCAGCGACGCCGCGUGUGGGAAGACGGUCCUCUGGAUUGUAAACCACUGUCCCCAGGGACGAAGAUGACGGUACCUGGGGAGGCCGCUCCGGCUAACUACGUGCCAGCAGCCGCGGUAAUACGUAGGGAGCACGCGUUGUCCGGAAUUACUGGGUGUAAAGGGAGCGUAGGCGGGAUGGCAAGUUGGGUGUUAAAUCUACCGGCUCAACUGGUAGUCGCACUUAAAACUGCUAUUCUUGAGUGAAGUAGAGGCAGGCGGAAUUCCUAGUGUAGCGGUGAAAUGCGUAGAUAUUAGGAGGAACACCAGUGGCGAAGGCGGCCUGCUGAGCUUUUACUGACGCUGAGGCUCGAAAGUGUGGGGAGCAAACAGGAUUAGAUACCCCAGUAGUC
rnacentral:rRNA from 1 species